rnacentral:rRNA from 1 species
GAUGAACGCUGGCGGCGUGCCUAAUACAUGCAAGUCGAGCGAACAGACGAGGAGCUUGCUCCUCUGACGUUAGCGGCGGACGGGUGAGUAACACGUGGAUAACCUACCUAUAAGACUGGGAUAACUUCGGGAAACCGGAGCUAAUACCGGAUAAUAUAUUGAACCGCAUGGUUCAAUAGUGAAAGACGGUUUUGCUGUCACUUAUAGAUGGAUCCGCGCCGCAUUAGCUAGUUGGUAAGGUAACGGCUUACCAAGGCAACGAUGCGUAGCCGACCUGAGAGGGUGAUCGGCCACACGGGAACUGAGACACGGUCCAGACUCCAACGGGAGGCAGCAGUAGGGAAUCUUCCGCAAUGGGCGAAAGCCUGACGGAGCAACGCCGCGUGAGUGAUGAAGGUCUUCGGAUCGUAAAACGCUGUUAUUAGGGAAGAACAAAUGUGUAAGUAACUAUGCACGUCUUGACGGUACCUAAGCAGAAAGCCACGGCUAACUACGG